AGGAUUAACGCUGGCGGCGUGCCUAACACAUGCAAGUCGAACGAGGUAGCAAUACCUAGUGGCAGACGGGUGAGUAGCGCGUGGUCAACCUACCGUUGAGUGGGGGAUAACUAGCCGAAAGGUUAGCUAAUACCGCAUACGUCUCCGAGGGGCAUCCCUUGGCGAUAAAAGGAGCAAUCCGCUCGAUGACGGGACCGCGUCCCAUUAGCUAGUUGGUGGGGUAACGGCCUACCAAGGCAUCGAUGGGUAGCUGGUUUGAGAGAGCGACCAGCCACACUGGGACUGAGAUACGGCCCAGACUCCUACGGGAGGCAGCAGUGAGGAAUUUUCCGCAAUGGGCGAAAGCCUGACGGAGCGACGCCGCGUGUGGGAAGAAGGCCUUCGGGUCGUAAACCACUGUCGAAGGGAAGAUAAUGACGGUACCCUUGGGAGGAAGCCCCGGCUAACUACGUGCCAGCAGCCGC
rnacentral:rRNA from 1 species